CAGAGAAUAGUUUAAGAAAAAUAUUAGCUUUGGGAGUUAAUGAUAAAAUAGCUAUUUUUUCUCUGA
rnacentral:tRNA from 1 species